GAUGAACGCUGGCGGCGUGCUUAACACAUGCAAGUCGAACGAAGCAUUUAAGACAGAUUACUUCGGUUUGAAGUCUUUUAUGACUGAGUGGCGGACGGGUGAGUAACGCGUGGGUAACCUGCCUCAUACAGGGGGAUAGCAGCUGGAAACGGCUGGUAAUACCGCAUAAGCGCACAGUACCACAUGGUACAGUGUGAAAAACUCCGGUGGUAUGCGAUGGACCCGCGUCUGAUUAGCUAGUUGGCGGGGUAACGGCCCACCAAGGCGACGAUCAGUAGCCGACCUGAGAGGGUGACCGGCCACAUUGGGACUGAGACACGGCCCAGACUCCUACGGGAGGCAGCAGUGGGGAAUAUUGCACAAUGGAGGAAACUCUGAUGCAGCGACGCCGCGUGAGUGAAGAAGUAGUUCGCUAUGUAAAGCUCUAUCAGCAGGGAAGAUAGUGACGGUACCUGACUAAGAAGCGCCGGCUAAAUACGUG
rnacentral:rRNA from 1 species